rnacentral:rRNA from 1 species
UCUGACACAGGUGCUGCAUGGUUGUCGUCAGCUCGUGUCGUGAGAUGUUGGGUUAAGUCCCGUAACGAGCGCAACCCUUGUCCUUAGUUACCAGCACGUUAUGGUGGGCACUCUAAGGAGACUGCCGGUGCAAACCGGAGGAAGGUGGGGAUGACGUCAAGUCAUCAUGGCCCUUACGGCCUGGGCUACACACGUGCUACAAUGGUCGGUACAAAGGGUUGCCAAGCCGCGAGGUGGAGCUAAUCCCAUAAAACCGAUCGUAGUCCGGAUCGCAGUCUGCAACUCGACUGCGUGAAGUCGGAAUCGCUAGUAAUCGUGAAUCAGAAUGUCACGGUGAAUACGGUUCCCGGCCUU